rnacentral:rRNA from 1 species
UUCGCAAUGCCCGAAAGGGUGACGAAGCGACGCCGCGUGCGGGAAGAAGGCCUUCGGGUUGUAAACCGCUGUCGGGAGUUAAGAAAUGUAAGGAUGUUAAUAGCAUCUUUGCUUGACUAAGGCUCCGGAGGAAGCCACGGCUAACUCUGUGCCAGCAGCCGCGGUAAUACAGAGGCGGCAAGCGUUGUUCGGAAUUAUUGGGCGUAAAGAGCACGUAGGCGGCUAUGUAAGUCGGUUGUGAAAGCCUUCCGCUCAACGGGAGAACAGCAUCCGAUACUGCAUGGCUUGAGUGCGGGAGGGGAGAGUGGAACUUCUGGUGGAGCGGUGAAAUGCGUAGAUAUCAGAAGGAACGCCGGCGGCGAAAGCGGCUCUCUGGCCCAUAACUGACGCUGAGUGUGCGAAAGCUAGGGGAGCGAACGGGAUUAGAUACCCCGGUAGUCCUAGCUGUAAACGAUGGGCACUAAGUAGAGGGGUUUU